CAUAGACUUCACAUAUGAAUGCUGGGUGAGAGAAAACACAUUGACACUGAAUUUCAAACCUGCUUCUCCUUGGAAUACCAUGCAAUGAAAUGUUUAUUUUGGGAAUUGUCUUUGAAAUGUCUUUGUGACUGAUCUACAGUCUUCAGGAUAGUGAUUUAAAUAGAGAGAGUCACUUUGCAUUGUCACACAUGCUUCAGUGCUCUGAGAGUGUUUAUAGUGCUGUGAGUUUAACACUUCAUGACUGAGAGCAGAACAGAACACAAUCUUCAUCAUCACACAAGACAAAAGAACAACAAUGAACACAAUCACCUUCUUCAUCUGGACACUCACUCUGUUUGCUCAAGAGUGUAGAGGACAGAUCACUGUAACUCAGAGUCCAUCAACAAUAACAGCUCAACCAGGACAAGAAGUCAGAAUAAACUGUAAAACCAGCAGUAGAGUGUAUGAUGGUGAUCGUUUAGCCUGGUACUUACAGAAACCUGGAGAAGCUCCUAAACUCCUGAUUUAUCAGAUCAACAGUCUCCAGUCAGGAACUCCAUCUAGAUUCAGUGGCAGUGGAUCUGGCAGUGAUUUCACUCUGACCAUCAGUGGAGUCCAGACUGAAGAUACAGGAGAUUAUUACUGUCAGAGUUACCACUAUAUCAACAGUAAAGAUGUGUUCACACAGUGAUAAAGAGUGGUACAAAAACCUCGGUUAGUCAGACGUCACAGUGAUGCACUGAUACAGCUGAGAGAUACUGCAGCUGCUGAUGGAGGAUCACAAACAACACAAUGUUUUUUCAGACCUUUCAGAAACAUUAUUUAUUUAUUUUGAUGUACUAAGCAUGUAACAUAAUCUUUAUAUUAUAUAAAUGUUAGUGGUGCUUGGCCCUGCAAAACUUUGCCACAACAAUGUAAUCUAACUGCAGGAAAGUCCGCCACUUUAAUUGCACUUCCAUGCUUCAUCACUAGAUGGCGUGUCUGUUACAUAACUGAGUUCCCUAUCUGUCAGUCACUUUGACGUUGUGUCGAUGUGAUGACACUAGUAUAGUGUUUCUCAACCUUUUUUACUCGAUGGCCUCCUCCUUCACCAGAUCAAUACUGCAGUGCCCCCCUAAGAUGCUUGACAUUUCCUCUUAUACGACUGAGACUCCCAUCUAAAGCCUGUCGGUUCACGUCGUCUCUGAUAACAAGAACUUAAUGCUGUUGGACAGGCUGUCUCUGCUGUACAUGCCACGGACAUGAACGAGAAUAGUCCCGACCCAGCACACAUGCAGGACCUAUGCUCGUUUACCGAUUUAUUAAUAAUUAAUAAUCAUCAAUAAUUAAUAAUAAUAAUGAAAAAGUUUUCAAAAACGUAAUUUCUCUCAUCACUACAGCAAACAUUUUGAACAUGUGUAUGUUUGGCUUUAUAUUCAUUGAUACAUCAGACCAUGUAACAUUGUAUCUGGAAUGGUAAAACAUUGUUGACUUAUCUUAAGUGUCUGAAUUUCUGAGGAACUCUUAUAGCGCUGCAGGACUAGCCUACAGCAAACACUGAACCAGACUAUUAAAUGUUGAGCAAGGGAUCUCAUUGGCUGCAGGAUCAGCAGAGACCAAUCAGCCUGAGUCAUUUGGUAUUGAUGUGAUUGCUUACAGACUGCAUGUAAAGGACCGAUCGAAGCCUGUGCCAUCUUCAGUUUCAUGACCGAACUAGAUUUCUGACAUGACAAUUCUUGGAGAGUUUGUCAUGGUAAUGAAUAUGACAAUGUUAAUGUGUUUGGUCUGCUGCUGUUGAUUAUAUCUGCUGUAGAGUACAGAACUUUCCACUGCCAAAACACACACAACAUGCUGCUGCUGCUGUACGAGCAAACAUGAAUCACCCCAUAGCAGAUCUGGACAGGUGGAGCUGGGGGAGGUGGAGGGUUUCUGAAAGUACACUGCACUGCUACAGCAAACAAUAGACAAGUGUUUGAAUGUUGAGCAGCAAGAUCAUUGACUACUGAUACAGCAGGAAUCAUUCAGUUGUGUCCUGUAGAGAAUGAUGUGUAAAUGUGUGUGUCUGACUCUGUAUAUUUACUGUUACUGUGCUUUGGUGAUGUAAAGCCUUUCUUUUAACCCUGUCAGUAAAACUAUUGGACUCUGAA